rnacentral:rRNA from 1 species
GGAAACAAGAUGCUAAUACCGUAUAACAACAGAUGAUGCCUAUCAACUGUUUAAAAGAUGGUUCUGCUAUCACUCUUGGAUGGACCUGCGGUGCAUUAGCUAGUUGGUAGGGUAACGGGCCUACCAAGGCGAUGAUGCAUAGCCGAGUUGAGAGACUGAUCGGCCACAUUGGGACUGAGACACGGCCCAAACUCCUACGGGAGGCAGCAGCC